rnacentral:tRNA from 1 species
GCGCCUGUAGCUCAGCUGGAUAGAGCAUCGGCCUUCGAAGCCGGGAGUCGUGGGUUCGAAUCCCUCCGGGCGCACCA